rnacentral:rRNA from 1 species
GACGUAGGGUGCGAGCGUUGUCCGGAUUUAUUGGGCGUAAAGAGCUCGUAGGCGGCUUGUUGCGUCGACUGUGAAAACCCGCGGCUUAACCGCGGGCUUGCAGUUGAUACGGGCAGGCUAGAGUUCGGUAGGGGAGACUGGAAUUCCUGGUGUAGCGGUGAAAUGCGCAGAUAUCAGGAGGAACACCGGUGGCGAAGGCGGGUCUCUGGGCCGAUACUGACGCUGAGGAGCGAAAGCGUGGGGAGCGAACAGG